UACCAGCUCUCCGAGUUGUAGGGAUGAUUAUUGGGCUUAAAGCGUCCGUAGCUGGCUUAGCAAGUCUCCUGUUAAAUUCAGCGACCUAAUCGUUGAGCCGCGGGAGAUACUACUAGGCUAGGAGGCGGGAGAGGUCGACGGUACUUUCGGGGUAGGGGUGAAAUCCUAUAAUCCCGGGAGGACCACCAGUGGCGAAGGCUGUCAACUAGAACGCGCUCGACGGUGAGGGACGAAAGCUGGGGGAGCGAACCGGAUUAGAUACCCGGGUAGUCCCAGCUGUAAACUAUGCGGGCUAGGUGUUGGGGUGGCUACGGGCCACUUCAGUGCCGCAGGAAAGCCAUUAAGCCCGCCGCCUGGGGAGUACGGCCGCAAGGCUGAAACUUAAAGGAAUUGGCGGGGAGCACCACAAGGCGUGAAGCUUGCGGUUC
rnacentral:rRNA from 1 species